rnacentral:rRNA from 14 species
UGCCUGGCAACGUCCUACUCUCACAGGGACAAGGUCCCAACUACCAUCGGCGCUAGAGAGCUUAACUUCCGUGUUCGGUAUGGGAACGGGUGUGACCUCUCUGCCAUCAUUACCA